AGUGAACGCUGGCGGUAGGCCUAACACAUGCAAGUCGAACGGCAGCACAGUAAGAGCUUGCUCUUACGGGUGGCGAGUGGCGGACGGGUGAGGAAUACAUCGGAAUCUACUUUUUCGUGGGGGAUAACGUAGGGAAACUUACGCUAAUACCGCAUACGACCUACGGGUUAAAGCAAGGGAUCUUCCGACCUUGCGCGAUUGAAUGAGCCGAUGUCGGAUUAGCUAGUUGGCGGGGUAAAGGCCCACCAAGGCGACGAUCCGUAGCUGGUCUGAGAGGAUGAUCAGCCACACUGGAACUGAGACACGGUCCAGACUCCUACGGGAGGCAGCAGUGGGGAAUAUUGGACAAUGGGCGCAAGCCUGAUCCAGCCAUACCGCGUGGGUGAAGAAGGCCUUCGGGUUGUAAAGCCCUUUUGUUGGGAAAGAAAAGCAGCAGGUUAAUACCCCGCUGUUCUGACGGUACCCAAAGAAUAAGCACCGGCUAACUUCGUG
rnacentral:rRNA from 1 species